rnacentral:rRNA from 1 species
UACGGAGGGGACUAGCGUUGUUCGGAAUUACUGGGCGUAAAGCGCACGUAGGCGGAUUUGUAAAUCAGGGGUGAAAUCCCGGGGCUCAACCUCGGAACUGCCUUUGAUACUGCAAAUCUCGAGUCCGGAAGAGGUGAGUGGAAUUCCUAGUGUAGAGGUGAAAUUCGUAGAUAUUAGGAAGAACACCAGUGGCGAAGGCGGCUCACUGGUCCGGUACUGACGCUGAGGUGCGAAAGCGUGGGGAGCAAACAGG